rnacentral:rRNA from 1 species
GAUGAACGCUGGCGGCGUGCCUAAUACAUGCAAGUCGAGCGAACGGACGAGAAGCUUGCUUCUCUGAUGUUAGCGGCGGACGGGUGAGUAACACGUGGAUAACCUACCUAUAAGACUGGGAUAACUUCGGGAAACCGGAGCUAAUACCGGAUAAUAUUUUGAACCGCAUGGUUCAAAAGUGAAAGACGGUCUUGCUGUCACUUAUAGAUGGAUCCGCGCUGCAUUAGCUAGUUGGUAAGGUAACGGCUUACCAAGGCAACGAUGCAUAGCCGACCUGAGAGGGUGAUCGGCCACACUGGAGCUGAGACAAGGUCCAGACUCCUACGGGAGGCAGCAGUAGGGAAUCUUCCGCAAUGGGCGAAAGCCUGACGGAGCAACGCCGCGUGAGUGAUGAAGGUCUUCGGAUCGUAAAACUCUGUUAUUAGGGAAGAACAUAUGUGUAAGUAACUGUGCACAUCUUGACGGUACCUAAUCAGAAAGCCACGGCUAACUACGUG